ACUACCGUACCAUGGCCACAACCACCUUAACCACUACCAACUUACCACUGCAGCUGUAAAACCAACAUCACGGCACCCACAACACCAUCAACCCAACACAAUACAACCACCAUUAACACUAAAACCACCACUAGAUUUCCCCAAUACAGCGGAGAAGAUACUUCUACAUAGCAGCUCCUACUAACUCUAAGCAGAUAAGAUCGGAGAAGAACGAAAUCACCCUAAAAACCCCAAACUCCUUCUCAAAUUUUCUCUGCUAUCGGCGGCCGAAAAUCCCCCAACCUCUCUCCAAAUUUUUUUGCAACAACGAUGAGUGCACCAUCGGGUAAAACUACUUCAAUCAAAAUCACCCCUAAAAACCCAAACUCGGCGAUUGAAAAUCCCCUAACCAAUCCCUAAAUUUUUUUGCGAGCCGGGCAAUGUUGCUACAAACUUGCAGCAGCUUCAGUGCUGUCAUUGAAGGUAACUGUGAACGAGAUAGAAAGUUGCAGUGACGAUAGCGGCAAUGCGGUGCCACUCGGUGACGUCUUCCGAUGGAGCCUUCUUGUCUUUCGAUGAGAUCGUUAAAUGAGGGAGAAAAAUGGAUAG
rnacentral:lncRNA from 1 species